CAUGACCUUGGGCACAAAUUCUUGGUUUCCCUAUCUCUAAGAAUGAGUUGUUAGCACUGGAUUGCCUUUCAACUUUAUUACUGUUAUGCUUUAUCACCCAUGGAAUUGGGAGCUAGCUCCAGGAGUAUUACAGGAAGAAUGGAUGGUCACUGUUGAAGAAGCAGAGAAGUAUACUGGGUGGCUGCCAGAGGAACCAUUUCACCAGCCAGCCACUUUUGUUCUUCCCUGCCCUAUGAAUCCUACUCCCAUACAUAUAUUCUGUUUCCCAAUAGUCCAAAUAACCAGAGAGAAAUGCCAUAGACUCAAUGUCCCCCAUUUAAGGUUAACAUGAAAAUGAUUGAGUUUUAAUGAGUCCAGUCAUCUAGCAGGACUGUGAGGGCGGGGGGCAAGGAGGUGAGGAGUGGACAGGGCCAUUGGGGGACAUGCAAGACAAUACGUGCCACAGACACCCACUUUAUGCGCAGCUCUAAUUUGAAAACUUCAGAUAAGCAGCUUACAUGAGGACUCCUCUCUGCCCUUGAGAAGUUAACAAUCUAAGUAGAUUACAUUAACGGAUACUUAAUAUAUAUCAAACAGAUAAUAGACUGAUCACACAGGAUGGUUUUCCAUCUAUUCUAAGAGGUCUCUGAUCCUGCCAUUUAUUUUAUAUCCAAUGCCACUGUUUAGUUCAAAUCAACACUGUCUUUUAUCUGAAUUAUAAAAGGUUUUUUCCUUGUUCUUCCCCUUCUCUUCUUCCAGUAUUUCUCAAACACUUAGCACAUAAGUUUAUCAGAAGUGAAUAAUAGUUCCUGCCCACACUCAAGUAGACAAAAUUACACAACAACAAGAAUACCAAGACAUGGGAUCCCUAGGGGGGCCACUCAGAGGCUUCUUACUACAGACAGAUGACAGCUGUUAAGCAGUUGUACAGAACAGCCCAUCAAGAUUUGAACAAAAAUAGAGCAAGAGGUCUCCAAAGGGAAUAUCAAAAUGGAACUAAGAGAUUAUUUGAUACAUAUGACAAUAUAUUAGCACAUGUGAAAAAAUAGUAUUGACAGCAUGUAGGUAUUGUGUUUAGAAGGAAUUAUUGAAAAAUUCGAGACACUUUUAGCAAAAGGAAGGAAAUAAACAUAAAAGCAGGCAGUUAACCUGAGAAAGAAAACAAACCAUACAAGAAAGAAAAUAUAAUUGAAGAAUAACCACUUGGCUCAGCAGCAAAUAAUACUUACAUAGACAAAGUAACAUAAAUGUGUACUUAACAGAACUGUCACAUAAACUAUGCUCAAAGGGAGAGGAAGGAUAGAAAAGUCAGGGGGAAAGGAAGUAACACACAACUGGAUCCCCAUCUACCAUAAUGGGUCAACAGAUCGUUUCCAAAGUUGACACCCAGUGAAUAAAUAAUUUUUAAAACUGAUAAAUCCAGAAAAGUCAGCAGUAAUGUAUUAUUUAGACACAAGAAGAAAAAUGUCAGAAAAAAUAGUCAAAAUAUCAAAGUUGCUAGAGAAUGGAACCAGGAUGUAAUGGAAGAAAGCCGAGGCUGUUUUUCAUUAUAAAUCUUGAAAGUAUACUGUUUAAAAAAACAAAACAAAACCUAUGAGCAUAUGUUUAUUUGAUGAAAAUAAAAAUGAAUUUGAAAGGG